GGCUCUUUAAUAAGCCAAAUUAGUAAUUCAUUUAGAUUGUGCUUGUGCCUUAAAGGACCUAAUCGUAGUAACCCAAAAAAUGUAAUAGCGUUUAAAUACAAAGUGAGAUAAAAAAACACAUCAUAAUUAUUUUAGGAACGAAUAAUCUCAAUCCAUUAAAUGUCUUUAACAACAGGAAUAAAUAUAACAAUUUUAGUAUAUUGCUUAUUUCACACUGCAAACAAAUCCGGUACCAAACAAAUCAGUGUGGCUCCCAAUUGAUCACUAUACCAGUAGAGCAAGCACAGAUAAAUUGUGUCGUCACCAAAUCAGGCACAACAACAACGAACGAGAUUACCACUGAAAAGUAGGCAAACAGCUGUUUUAAUAAAGAAAAUCAAGAUUAGACAGGCCAUAUACGCAACUUACAGUUACGAUUUCCUUACUGCGAAAAGGAGAGGUAGAGGCAAAGUAAACGUAAACAAACACAAAGGCAGCACACCAUUCACAAUCAAAUCUAGGUUAAAUGUGAAAGGAUUAUUACUUUGGAUUUUGAAAUAAAAAAUUUCAAGUUUCCGAACAUGUUGCCAGCAUGGUAAAAUGGCAUAAUGGCUCACUACUUCAAUUAAUGAUUACUAACUGCAAUGCAACAACACCGCAGCUUUGUCAACAACAACAACAACCGCGUGAAUCGUGAAUGAGUAAUUUCAAUUAUCUUAUGCAUACAAAAUAUGUAGUACAAAAGGAAAAUGCAAUGAUGAAAUAUUCAAACCGAUUUCGAUUUUUUUGUCAUUAAAUAUUAUACAAUAGCAAAAAUAAAAAUGUUAGUACUGCUACACAAGC